rnacentral:rRNA from 1 species
UACGGAGGAGGCAAGCGUUAUCCGGAAUUACUGGGCGUAAAGCGUGCGCAGGCGGCCAUGCAAGACAGAUGUGAAAUCCCCGGGCUCAACCUGGGAACUGCAUUUGUGACUGCAUGGCUAGAGUACGGUAGAGGGGGAUGGAAUUCCGCGUGUAGCAGUGAAAUGCGUAGAUAUGCGGAGGAACACCGAUGGCGAAGGCAAUCCCCUGGACCUGUACUGACGCUCAUGCACGAAAGCGUGGGGAGCAAACAGG